GAGCACUCCUACGGGAGGCAGCAGUGGGGAAUAUUGCACAAUGGGCGCAAGCCUGAUGCAGCCAUGCCGCGUGUAUGAAGAAGGCCUUCGGGUUGUAAAGUACUUUCAGCAGUGAGGAAGUGGAUAUGUUAAUAGCAUACUCAUUUGACGUUAGCUGCAGAAGAAGCACCGGCUAACUCCGUGCCAGCAGCCGCGGUAAUACGGAGGGUGCGAGCGUUAAUCGGAAUUACUGGGCGUAAAGCGCAUGCAGGUGGUUUGUUAAGUCAGAUGUGAAAGCCCGGGGCUCAACCUCGGAAUUGCAUUUGAAACUGGCAAACUAGAGUACUGUAGAGGGGGUAGAAUUUCAGGUGUAGCGGUGAAAUGCGUAGAGAUCUGAAGGAAUACCGGUGGCGAAGGCGGCCCCCUGGACAGAUACUGACACUCAGAUGCGAAAGCGUGGGGAGCAAACAGGAUUAGAUACCCUGGUAG
rnacentral:rRNA from 1 species